rnacentral:rRNA from 1 species
GUGCCAGCAGCCGCGGUAAUACGUAGGGGGCGAGCGUUGUCCGGAAUGACUGGGCGUAAAGGGCGCGUAGGCGGUCUUGUAAGUUAGAGGUGAAAUUCCAGUUUUCAAGAUUGGAACUGCCUUUAAUACUGCAGGGCUAGAGUGCAGAAGAGGUAAGCGGAAUUCCCAGUGUAGCGGUGAAAUGCGUAGAGAUUGGGAAGAACACCAGUGGCGAAGGCGGCUUACUGGGCUGUAACUGACGCUGAGGCGCGAAAGCGUGGGGAGCGAACAGGAUUAGAUACCCUGGUAGUCCACGCUGUAAACGAUGAAUGCUAGGUGUAGGGGGUAUCGACCCCUCCUGUGCCGGAGUCAACACAAUAAGCAUUCCGCCUGGGGAGUACGGCCGCAAGGUUGAAACUCAAAGGAAUUGACGGGGGCCCGCACAAGCAGCGGAGCAUGUGGUUUAAUUCGACGCAACGCGAAGAACCUUACCAGGUCUUGACAUCGAUGUAAAGUCCAAGAGAUUGGAUGUGGCUUCGGCCGACAGAAGACAGGUGGUGCAUGGUUGUCGUCAGCUCGUGUCGUGAGAUGUUGGGUUAAGUCCCGCAACGAGCGCAACCCUUAUGAUCAGUUACUAACGCGUAGAGGCGAGGACUCUGAUGAGACCGCCGGGGACAACUCGGAGGAAGGUGGGGACGACGUCAAAUCAUCAUGCCCCUUAUGACCUGGGCUACACACGUGCUACAAUGGUGGCAACAAAGAGGAGCGAAGCCGUAAGGCGGAACGGAUCUCAAAAAAUCCAUCUCAGUUCGGAUUGUGGGCUGCAACCCGCCCACAUGAAGUUGGAGUUGCUAGUAAUCGCGGAUCAGAAUGCCGCGGUGAAUACGUUCCCGGGCCUUGCACACACCGCCCGU